rnacentral:rRNA from 1 species
UACGGAGGGGGCUAGCGUUGUUCGGAAUUACUGGGCGUAAAGCGCACGUAGGCGGACCAGCAAGUUAGGGGUGAAAUCCCGGGGCUCAACCCCGGAACUGCCCUUAAAACUGUUGGUCUUGAGUUCGAGAGAGGUGAGUGGAAUUCCGAGUGUAGAGGUGAAAUUCGUAGAUAUUCGGAGGAACACCAGUGGCGAAGGCGGCUCACUGGCUCGAUACUGACGCUGAGGUGCGAAAGCGUGGGGAGCAAACAGG